rnacentral:tRNA from 1 species
AGAGAAAGACGACGAUACAACAAACACAGGCUUAAAGUGAAUUUCUAAUCGCUUAGCUGUCAUUUUUUUUAUUAUAAAGUAUUAAUUACCCAACAAGUAGAGUCUCGUAGCUCAGCUGGUUAGAGCGCUACACUGAUAAUGUAGAGGUCGGCAGUUCGAGUCUGCCCGAGACUACUUUUAAUUACGAAUUCUUAAUUACGAAUUACGAAUUGAAAAUCUAUAAAUUAGGUUGGGGGAGAUAGUACAAUUGAGAAUCUAGGGUGAGCAAUGUCCCUGAAAGUGGGUAAUUGUUUCCCUGUUUCAACCAUGGGGAAUUAGCUCAGCUGGCUAGAGCACUUGAUUUGCAUUCAAGAGGUCAUCGGUUCGACUCCGAUAUUCUCCACAAUAAAGUUCUUUGACAUAUUGAGAAUACAAGGGUUAACUAUUAUAUAAUUAUAUAAUAGAGUAACGAGCAAAUAAUAGAGAAUAUUUUUAAAAGCAAUUUUAAAGAAAGAGUAAUAAAGUUAC